GGUGGGGAUGACGUCAAGUCAUCAUGGCCCUUACGACCAGGGCUACACACGUGCUACAAUGGCGCAUACAAAGAGAAGCGACCUCGCGAGAGCAAGCGGACCUCAUAAAGUGCGUCGUAGUCCGGAUUGGAGUCUGCAACUCGACUCCAUGAAGUCGGAAUCGCUAGUAAUCGUGGAUCAGAAUGCCACGGUGAAUACGUUCCCGGGCCUUGUACACACCGCCCGUCACACCAUGGGAGUGGGUUGCAAAAGAAGUAGGUAGCUUAACCUUCGGGAGGGCGCUUACCACUUUGUGAUUCAUGACUGGGGUGAAGUCGUAACAAGGUAACCGUAGGGGAACCUGCGGUUGGAUCACCUCCUUACCUUAAAGAAGC
rnacentral:rRNA from 1 species